UACGUAGGGGGCAAGCGUUGUCCGGAUUUAUUGGGCGUAAAGAGCUCGUAGGCGGUUCCGUAAGUCAGGUGUGAAAAAUCUGGGCUCAACCCAGUGGAGCACCUGAUACUGCGGUGACUCGAGUCCGGUAGGGGAGUGUGGAAUUCCUGGUGUAGCGGUGGAAUGCGCAGAUAUCAGGAGGAACACCGAUGGCGAAGGCGGCUAUCUGGCCCAAUACUGACACUGAGGUGCGAAAGCGUGGGGAUCAAACAGG
rnacentral:rRNA from 1 species